rnacentral:rRNA from 1 species
GAUGAACGCUGGCGGCGUGCCUAAUACAUGCAAGUCGAGCGAACGGACGAGAAGCUUGCUUCUCUGAUGUUAGCGGCGGACGGGUGAGUAACACGUGGAUAACCUACCUAUAAGACUGGGAUAACUUCGGGAAACCGGAGCUAAUACCGGAUAAUAUUUUGAACCGCAUGGUUCAAAAGUGAAAGACGGUCUUGCUGUCACUUAUAGAUGGAUCCGCGCUGCAUUAGCUCGUUGGUAAGGUAACGGCUUACCAAGGCAACGAGGCAUAGCCGGCCUGAGCGGGUGGUGGGCCACACUGGAACUGAGACACGGUCCAGACUCCUGCGGGAGGCAGCAGUAGGGAAUCUUCCGCAAUGGGCGAAAGCCUUACGGAGCAACGCCGCGUGAGUGAUGAAAGGCUUCGGAUCGUAAAACUCUGUUAUUAGGGAAGAACAUACGUGUAAGUAACUGUACACAUCUUGACGGUACCUAAUCAGAAAGCCACGGCUAACUACGUG